UCUAAAAUGCUACUGACAAAACUUUCUUUUAAACAGCUCUGCCCAGGAAUUAAUGAAGAAUGUGAAAGUUUUCUUCACAAAACUAAGAUAUGUUUUCGGUAAAAAUAUGUCAACCUGAUACAAAAGCAGUGAAGUCUUUGGGCCUAAGCUGCUUUGCCUCAUCAACGCUUACAGAAAACCAAACACUUCAGUCCAAAAUUCUGCAUGUGUGAAACACCUGGAGAGCUUAUUAAAACAGAAAUUCCUGGAUUUCACCCCAAAGACUUGGACUCAGUAGAGAAUUUGCAGUUAUGACAAGCUCCCAAAUGACGCUGGCACUACUGUCCUCAGACUGCAUUUGGAGAAGCAUAGAUUUCAUCCUGAAAAAAGCCCUAGGAGAUGACAGAACACAGGAGCUAAGGCAGCAGCCACUGAAGAAACAGAAGGGUCUGAACCAUUGUCGAUAAUUGAGUUUUGCCAGUAGACUGCUGAAGAACAGAAAGGUAAUUGGGUUGAUGGCAAAAUAAAUAGACUC